UUUCCGUAGGUGAACCUGCGGAAGGAUCAUUGCCGAGACCGAACUAUCGAAUGAUUCAGAGAACUCGUGAAUUAUUUGCGAUGGCAGCUGCUAUUGCAGAAUAGCCGUCCCAAUCGCUUGCAUCGGCCGAAUUGAGGGGCAACGAUUGAGGAUGGAUAUGACUAAAAAUCGGCGCAGUUCCGCGCCAAGGAAGUAUCGAAUAACACUAGACCUUAUCGGGUUUAGUGGCGUGGAGUGCACCUGCACACCAUACGGAUUGACACGACUCUCGGCAAUGGAUAUCUCGGCUCUCGCAUCGAUGAAGAGCGCAGCGAAAUGCGAUACGUGGUGCGAAUUGCAGAAUCCCGCGAACCAUCGAGUAUUUGAACGCAAGUUGCGCCCGAGGCCAGACGGCCAAGGGCACGUCCGCCUGGGCGUCAAGCAUCUCGUCGCUCCGUGCCAACUCCAUCCCACCUAUGGGUGUGUCGGCCAAGGCUCGGACGUGCAGAGUGGCUCCUCGUGCCCAUUGGCGCGGCGAGUUAAAGAGUGGGUUAUCGUCUCGUUGGACACGAACAACAAGGGGUGGACGAAAGCUAUGAGCAAGGCCUGUGUUGUCUCGUGUUGGCCUGAUAAACGAUAAGGAGAUCCCAACCCAUGCCCCGAUCUAAAGUCGGUGGCUUGGAAUGCGACCCCAGGAUGGGCGAGGCC
rnacentral:rRNA from 1 species